rnacentral:rRNA from 1 species
GACGAACGCUGGCGGCGUGCUUAACACAUGCAAGUCGAACGGAAAGGCCCUGCUUGCAGGGUACUCGAGUGGCGAACGGGUGAGUAACACGUGGGUGAUCUGCCCUGCACUUCGGGAUAAGCCUGGGAAACUGGGUCUAAUACCGGAUAGGAGCCAUUUUUAGUGUGAUGGUUGGAAAGUUUUUUCGGUGUAGGAUGAGCUCGCGGCCUAUCAGCUUGUUGGUGGGGUAAUGGCCUACCAAGGCGGCGACGGGUAGCCGGCCUGAGAGGGUGGACGGCCACAUUGGGACUGAGAUACGGCCCAGACUCCUACGGGAGGCAGCAGUGGGGAAUAUUGCACAAUGGGCGCCAGCCUGAUGCAGCGACGCCGCGUGGGGGAGGACGGACUUCGGGUUGUAAACUCCUUUCGCUAGGGACGAAGCUUUUUGUGACGGUACCUAGAUAAGAAGCACCGGCUAACUACGUG